UACGGAGGGUGCAAGCGUUGCUCGGAAUUACUGGGCGUAAAGCGCGUGUAGGCGGUCUCGUGUGUCUGGCGUGAAAGCCCCGUGCUCAACCCGGGAAGUGCGUUGGAAACUGCGAGACUAGAGUUCCGGAGAGGAAGGUGGAAUUCCAGGUGUAGCGGUGAAAUGCGUAGAUAUCUGGAAGAACACCGGUGGCGAAGGCGGCCUUCUGGACGGUGACUGACGCUGAGACGCAAAAGCGUGGGGAGCAAACAGG
rnacentral:rRNA from 1 species